GAGAAGCCGCAUGAGGGAUAAUAGUGGAAAUCCUUCUGUUUUUUUUCUAAACAGAAGAUCAAAACGAAUAGCCCGACCCGCU
rfam:Flavobacterium sp. ov086 genome assembly, contig: Ga0070134_125